GAAAUGCGAUAAGUAAUGUGAAUUGCAGAAUUCAGUGAAUCAUCGAAUCUUUGAACGCACCUUGCGCCCUCUGGUAUUCCGGAGGGCAUGCCUGUUUGAGUGUCAUUAAAUUCUCAACUUUAAAAGGUUUUUCAUUGACCUUUUGAAGCUUGGAUGUGGGGGUUUGCUGGCGUCUUUAGAUGUUCGGCUCUCCUUAAAGUUAUUAGUGGGGAAUGUCUUUUGUUAGGCGGUCCUUGGUGUGAUAAUUAUCUACGCUUUGGACAGUCUGAUGAUUCCAUUGAGAUUCAGUAGUAUUGCGAUUAGGUUUGCUUUACUUGGGGUCUCAGAGGAAAAGAUAAGUUCUGCUUUCUAACUGUCUGUGUUACAUGGACAACUUUAUUGACUAUUUGACCUCAAAUCAGGUAGGACUACCCGCUGAACUUAA
rnacentral:rRNA from 1 species